AUUGAACGCUGGCGGCAGGCCUAACACAUGCAAGUCGAGCGGAUGACGAGAGCUUGCUCCUUGAUUCAGCGGCGGACGGGUGAGUAAUGCCUAGGAAUCUGCCUGGUAGUGGGGGACAACGUUUCGAAAGGAACGCUAAUACCGCAUACGUCCUACGAGAGAAAGCAGGGGGCCUUCGGGCCUUGCGCUAUCAGAUGAGCCUAAGUCGGAUUAGAUAGGUGGUGAGGUAAUGGCUCACCAAGGCGACGAUCCGUAACUGGUCUGAGAGGAUGAUCAGUCACACUGGAACGGAGGCACGGUCAAGACUCCUACGGGAGGAAGCAGUGGGGAAUAUUGGACUAUGGGCGAAAGCCUGAUCCAACCAUGACGCGUGUGUGAAGAAGGUCUUCGGAUUGUAAAGCACUUUAAGUUGGGAGGAAGGGCAGUAAGUUAAUACCUUGCUGUUUUGACGUUACCGACAGAAUAAGCACCGGCUAACUCUGUGCCAGCAGCCGCCGUAAAAC
rnacentral:rRNA from 1 species